CCUACGGGUGGCAGCAGUGAGGAAUAUUGGUCAAUGGGCGAGAGCCUGAACCAGCCAAGUCGCGUGAAGGAUGAAGGAUCUAUGGUUUGUCACCUUCUUUUAUAUGGGCAUACAGUGAGUAACGUGUUCCUUUUUGUAUUUACCCUAUUACUAAGCAUCUGCUAACUCCGUGCCAGCCGCCGCGGUAAUACGGAGGAUGCGAGCGUUAUCCGGAUUUAUUGAGUUUAAAGGGUACGUAGUUGGUUAAUUAAGUCAGCGGUUAAAGUUUGUGGCUCAACCAUAAAAUUGCCGUUGAAACUGGUUGACUUGAGUAUAUUUGAGGUAGGCGGAAUGCGUGGUGUAGCGGUGAAAUGAAUAGAUAGCACGAAGAACUCCGAUUGCGAAGGCAGCUUACUAAACUAUAACUGACACUGAUGCACGAAAGCGUGGGGAUCAAACAGGAUUAGAUACCCCUGUAGUC
rnacentral:rRNA from 1 species